CAAAUAGUUUACAUUGACUGUAAGCGUUACAGUAAAUCGAUAUCAGGAUAAGUUUUUCAGACACCUACACACAGGAAAGGGACAAAAGAUGAAAAUCGAUUUUCAACGAUAGAUUCAGUCUAUAAGAACCAACUAUCUUUUCAACACAGGAUACUAUUCUUAUAUUGUGUUGGCAAAUGAUUGCAAAUUUUGUCAUUACCACCUAAUGUUACUUAAUUGCCAAUAUAAUCGCUGUAUCUGUAAAAUUUGUGACAAGUGAGCUAUUUAAAACUGUUUCUUAACACGAUGAAACCCCUAUUUUUCCGCCAACUCGAUAAAUUGUCAGGAAUAAAGCUAUUGAAAUAUGUGUAAUUUUGUGUGCACUAGAUUAGCCGCGUAGUAGUGACAUACAUAUAUGAAUAUGAUGAGUGUGUGGAGUAUGUGCGUGCGCAGCGCAUGGUAAAACAGAAGAAUGCAACUGUUGCAUACGCAAGGCGAUGAAAAAGAUGGCGGGACAAAGAGAGUGCUGAGACGCGUGCAAUGUGUAUUUACGAAUAUUUUGUAAAUAACAUAUUAAAUAAAUCUGAAACUAUUUUGAUAUCAAUUCUAAGUGUAAUUACAAUGAAACCAGUGCGCGCAUAUUCGGACGAUUUGACGUUUCGACGUACUUGAUAACAACGUAUUACAACAAUAUAUUCAGAUACAGUGGCUGCAGAAAUUAUGGCCGCAUAACCUUAUUUUAUCACGUCCCUUUAUCACAAACUCUACAUUUCACUUUUAUAGUGGCAAAUUAGUGCAGUCGUAUGAAAGUAUUGCACCGAAUCGUGCAAGAUAUAUUUCGCUCUAAUUAAUUAGCAUCACAGACGUUCCAGUUAUUACGUAGGAGACAUAAGAAAUCACGAAAUUGACAGAUCACCGGUGAUCUUUUUGCGUCGCAGUUGCGUUUCACAAAUAAGAGAAUGUCGAGAGCUGAUUUUAGGAAGAUUUAUAUACUAUGGGUUUGGUUCCCAUGGAGGGGGUGUCGCUGAGGCUCAGCUCAGAGAUGGCCAUGCUGUUACUGUUUUCUCACAUUGGAACACUCUCUACGUUGUUGUUUCGAUGGAUAGAUUCGUCGGCGGCAUCGAUCCGAUCGUAACGUGGUUCCAGGAUUUUGGAAAUGGUCCAAACUUCCGAGUGGAGCCUGUAGAAUUUUAAUUACGCCGGUGGCCAGGACCAGACAACAAAAGGCAGCCGCGUAUUUGGUACACAAGCAAGCCCGAUCAAUUUAUUCAAACAAGAUUUCAUUGAAGCCGUAACGUUUCCUAAUAGAGUCAAACUUCUGAUGGGUGAAUCUAAUUAUCUGAACCUAUACUUCUAUUAUGAAUUGUAUUAUGAAUUGUAAGUAGUGGAGAGUAGUAUUAUGAAUUGUAAGUAGUGGAGAAGAUAGAGCAGUAUUCCUAUUGUAUCAAUUCUAAUUACAUGAAUUCUUUGAUAAGUUCGCACACAGUGAGAGCCAACAACAUAUAUAUGCAGAGUAGAAGCUCCAUUAUCUGAACGUUCCACUAUUUGGACACUUGUCACGUGUAAAGAACUUAAUCCUCUGCAAGAAUGUUUGUUAACAGUCAACGAAGAUAAAGCUUCAGGAACAAUUAAGAGGAUUAGCUGUUAUACUGCUGUUAUAUGUGUUAAAUGUGAUACUAGAAAGAUUGAGGACACCAUUUUUAUUAUAUUACUACAGAUUCAGAAGAAACUCCUUUUCCAUAGAAUACCAGAAUCCUAUGAUCCUGAUAACGUCGACGCUAUAGAACGCUUUUAAUGUGAUGAAUCUUCUUCAGUGGACGUCUUCUUCAGAUGAUGUUAAUGUCGUUUGGCGGAAAAACGCGACGAAGGGAAUUGGCGUAGCUGCUGAUUGCACAGUUUCUCGGUUACAUUGGCGUAACCGGUUCUCCACGACUUCUCGUCGAGUGUCUUUGUGUCGUCGAGGAAUCCGUGCCGUUCAAGCGAUUUUUAUUAAACGACGCGGCUCACAGGGUACAUUGUUUGUCGCGAGCAACGCCACUUCAUCGCCUCUUGUGGGAACAGCCAAUCACGAGCCACCGUAGAAUCUCGCAAUUGCUGACUGAUCAGUAUUUAGCAGUACAUAUAACAACAGUACUUUGCAAAGAACAUUAAAGUGAUCCAGGAAAUUAGCAUUUCUUCUGAUAAACUGCACCUCGUUCGAUGCAUAUAAAAUGUACUGUACCUAUCUGCCAGAAAAUAAAACAAGAUGCAACAAAUUUCUACUGCAAGUAGCUAGAGAAUGGAUAACUGUGGAUUCCAAACAAUGCAGCAUUGCACCUGGCACUUCUGGAAUUUCUAAAACACCUGCUUAUUAUAAUGAUGCAUCCUUCAGGUUUGACAGACGACUAAGAGACCACAUGUUAGAAACAAUAGUUACUGGCAGAAAAACAAAUCUGACUAGAGCGUGUAUAGUAUGCUGUUCAAAAGGAAAACUCAGGAAUUGCACAUCCAAUUAUGAAAUAAUAUCCAGUGACAUGAGAUAAAUUCUCAGGAAAAUUACCGGUCCACAAUGUUGCUGUUACAACAACAAUGGUGCUUUUUUAAUGUUUUUAACUCUGCAGGCAUUUUGAAUAGAUUACACGCGUUUAAUGAUAUCAUAUAAUGUUUCAAAAUAUUAUUAUAUAACGUGGAAAUGGCGAUGAAAAGAAAUUGCUUGAAGCUGUACAGGUAAAUUCUAUCGAUUGCAAACUAAAUUGCAGUCUGAUAUUAUUAAUACUGACGAUGUAUUUAUCGAUAUAUAAUAUAUAUAUAUAAUAUUAAUUAUAUGCAAUAUCGAUGGAAUACUUGUGAAAGUUUAUUUACGCCAUGUCAUAUUAGGAAGGCAAUUUCCAAACGGAAUUUAUUUCCAUAUGGUUUAUAGGAAUUAUUAUGAAAAUUCUUUUUCAUAUUUCCUGCUUUUUAAUUCGCCUUCUAUAUUUCAAUUAAUAUUGCCUGGAUAUUGUAAAACAUACGUACAAGAUGUGCAAAUACGAAUACGAAUUUUGUAUUAUGUUUGUCUGUGAACUCUUUCCACUCCUUUAUAUUAUAAAUUACAUGUUAUAUGUUCUAAUCAUAUGUUGUAGUUUGAACAACGCAUAUAUGUUGAGUGUAACUAUAUCUAUUGAUCAUGAAUAUAUUCAUUCAAAUAUAAACGCACAAACAUUAGAAUUCCAUAGAAAUUGUUGAGUAAUUAGAGUAAUAUAUGCAUAUCCGUAACAUUUUGCUAAAAGUAUUGGGUUGGCAAUUAAGUGAUUGCGAAUUUUGUCAAUACCACCUAAUGACAAAAUCUGCAAUCACUUAGUUGCCCAAUAAUAAUCCAUAUGAAUGGAAUAAAUUCCAUUUGAAAAUUGCCUUUUUAGUAUGAAAUAGAGUAAAUAAACUUUCACAAGUAUUCCAUCGAUAUUACAUAUAAUUAAUAUUAUACAUAUAUUUUAUAUAUCAAUAAAUACCCAAUAAUAUUCUAAAGUACAUUUGGGACGUGAAGGAUUAAAUGGAGCUUACGCAGCUUGCAAAUGACUUUAACAGAAAUAUCCAAAAGCUUUAUUACAACUUCCAAAUCAAAUACUGGGGAAAAACCCUAACCUCGUUUCAUCCUCUUUUAAACGUCAAAUUAAACCGAAAACGAGACGUUUUCUUUACCCUGCAAUCUGUUUCUCACCAUCAAACCUCAUAGUUGCCCCUCAAACACAUUUUAAAAUCGCUCGUUCAGCAUCCUUAUCUUCCUUCUCAAUCUCUUCCUCCUUUUAUUUGUCUGCAGGGGUAAAGGAAAGAGAGGAGAGAGAGAGAGAGAGAGAGAACGAUUGCUUAAUUUUACCCAAUUUUCUCCAAUUUUUUCCGAAGGUAACUCUGGAAUCAGCCGAAGCAGAAAAGCGUGACGCGCAUCAACCCAAGCCAGCUUUUAUAUUUCCUCGACGUUAGAUUGCGUUCCUCGACGUACGUAUGUAGGUCGUCGCGUUUCUUCCUGGCGUUCCAGUUUCAGAAAUUUGCGUUUAAGUCCCGUGGAAUCGAAUUUCGACAGCCGCUCCCCACCGUGAUUCGUCGUUCAUUUGUUUAUAUUUAUUCAAUCGUUUGCAUUUUGCAAUGUUGUUGUGUCUGGCAAUGAUGGAAGGUUUCACGAUAUUUAUUUUGUUCAUUGCGUACUGUUUCAACUGACUGAAUCUUUCUUUUGUUUCCUUUCGAUGGUUUAAUCUUCCAAACAUCACAUGAUUAGUAUAAGCGACGUUGUUUAUCUUCUUGACUUCUGUGUAACUUGAUCAUCUUCGCUAUGUUUUGUUAUUCCACGAGUUUAUCUUUCGAUGUUGAACGAUGUCGAAUAAGCGAUGCUGGAUUAAACGAAGCUUCUGUUUGGUUUCAUUUGAUUUUUCCAUUAUUCUCGAUUAUUACUAUUGUUGAUAAUUUUCUCACUGGUUUCUUAUUCCAUGGUUCUAUAUACUUAUAGUUUUACAGUUUACGGUAUUAAAAAUUGGAAACACGCAUUGAAGUUUGGGAGGAUUUUUAUAUGUUUAAUAUAAUUCCAAUACAAUAUCAAUAUAGUAGGUGCAUGAUAUUUAUAGCAAAAAUAAAUCUCGUGAUCCUAAAUGGUUUUCUAAUCAGGUUCAAUUGAACUAUUGGGUUGGCAACUAAGUGUCACUUAUCACGCAAUCACUUAUUUGCCUAACCUCAACUUAACCUCAGUACGUAGAACGUAGCAGAAAAGAAGAAACUUGUGCAUGUUUAAAAUCUCUCAAUUAUAUGAUAUUUGCCACAUGACUUCAAACCCUAACUCACUUUCAAAUUUCAUUACCAGCUAGUGACAAUCUCCGCAAUCACAUAGUUGCCAACCUAAUAUUUUUAUGUACUUCUGCUUUUAGUAAACUAAUAUAAGAAUAAAACUCUUUUUCACUAAAAAUACACCAAUCAUUCAAUGCAACUGAACCUGCAUACUGAAUCGAUCAUUUAUGGCAAUCCGCAAAAUUCUCAAGUAAUUCUAUAAAUUUUGUCCAUCUGGUAUCGUCGUUAAAAGCAAACGAUACCAAAUUUCUGAUUGCUAUCUGAUGAAGGAAAGCCGUGCGCUUGAAGUCACUUCGAUGUUAGGGAAAUAUCAGAUGAAAGAGGCGCGAACCGUAAUAUGGUGAAAGUUGGCAUAACUGAUGGAAGGAAGCGGACGAGAGCGGAAGUUAGUGGAAAAAUCAAUGAAUGGAAGGAUUUAAUCGCGCGAUCUAGUUUCGUAGGCGAAGUGAAGUUGUUCGUGUUUUGAUGUCAGGUACAGCUGACGCUGACAAUUUAUCGAGUCGGUAGCACCGAUUCGAAUACGCUCUCAGGUUAGUUCGCCUGCAAGUGUAAUAAAAAUGGAGAAAGAAGAAGGAAGCGAAGAGACGCGACAGAGAUCUACCGAUACUGAUUCCUCUCCGUUCAGUCGUAUUUCUUCUCCGUUUUCGACUUGCUGCUCACUUUAACGCGCUGUCUCCGCGCGUCAAUUGCCAACACCUUUCUGCAGACUGCGCUCCAGUUUCUUUCGUUUGCAAGUCUAAUAAAAAACGAGAAAGAAGGAGAAGAAAAAGGAGUAGAAGAAGAAGAAGAAAAGAUAGGGAGAGAAAGAAAGGACGACAAGGAGAGACUUACGGUCCUCGUGGAAUACAGAGGAAACGUGGCGCGUAAAUAGAGCGAAUAAAAGAGGUCGAGUUGAAAUGGGGCUGAAAAUUUGUAAAGAUGAGGAAAAGGGUUUUUUUCGAGUUAAUGAAGGAAUUCUACAGUGGAAUUCAUGUCAUUUCAACGAACGACCAAUUUCAAGAGGAUUCGAUUAUUUCUUCGUUAGCCAUUAAACUAUACAUUGUGCUUAUUUUCACCAACCAGCUGCUUCUUACUCCAUUGCACCGAUAAAAUAGCAAUUUUCUAUCGGACAAAAGGAAAUGUUUCGCGUGGUUUCCAACAACGUUUCAGAGUUCAGGUUAUCGGUAAUCGUCUGGUAAAUAAAAAAUCGUUGAUUCAUGCCAUCUCGUGAUAGAAUCCCUUGGCUUUUGGAGGAUAUCGCGUGAGAGGACAAUUUUGCAAUCGCAGGAAUAUUAUUUGGCGAGCUCGUGCUAUCAUUAGCGAGCAAUUCAUCGUGUCGUGACGGGAAAAUUGACCGUCCAAACACGAAGAAUCGAUAUUCCAUUACGGAGGAUCGGUGGUUGGCCAGAGAGUCUGCGAUAAGAGUUCAACUAUGUAUAUCUUCUUGCAGUUACAUUUGAACUUUUUGUAAUACACCGGUUCACACAAACAGACGAACUCCAGAACAGUCAGACAUAUAGUGGAAUUGUUAGUCGAAUAGCGAACAGUUAGAGAGUCGAAUAGUAACAUUGAGCGAGCCACGAUUACGACAUGCACUAUCUCUGUACUUGUACUUAACAAAACUCUGCCUGUAAUCAAUGAGGAAAGCGGAUUUUCCUGGUCACCUGACGUACUUAUUUCUCGUGUUUUCGUCAACUUUUCCUACGCUCAUGUGGCGCUACAAAUUUAUUCAAAUUUUGAUACUAUUUUAGUCUUCAAAGGAAAUUAAUUGCAUUGUUUAACAUAUAGAAAUUAAAUUGUUAGAUUAUUUGAUUAACUUACUAAAAUAUAUGCAGCCAAUAUAGCUGAGCUCGCUUAUAUCUUCACUUGAUUCUCAGACACAUUUACAUUUGAUCUUCCAAAAUGAACAGCAUCAUUUGACAUACGCAACAUAUCUUGAUAAAUUAUUAACUCAGUAAGUAUAAACUAUACGUAGAAGAUCUCACGUAUACUUUUACUUUAUUCUUAGAUCUAUUCACUUGUUAGUUCACUUUCCAAAAUCACUUAUACUUCUUCGCAAGCUUAUUAACUGUUUGAAGUACAGAAACUAAGUAACAUAUAUGUAGCAUCGUGGACAAAUGGCCUAAGAAAUAUUUGGCGAAUCAUAGACAGUAUUGCGAGAAUCCCCAAGUAUCGUUAGGCCAGAAAGGGCCUGGCAGUUUUACCGGGGAGUCGAGUAGAAAAGUCGUGAAUUGAGAGUUGAGGUGUGAGUUGACAGUCUAGUGGAAUAGUCGUUAGUGGAGAGUCGAGUGGAGUAGUCGUGAAUUGAGAGUCGAGUGGAGUAGCCAAGUUUUGAGUUGACAGUCGAGUGGAGGGGAGUCGAGUUGCGAGGAGUUGAGAGCUGAGUUGCCGAGUUGUUAUGAGUAGUAAACUAUUACAAUAGUUGUGAGUUGUGAAUUAAUUAUUUAGUUGUCUUAGUUAUAGCACAUUACUGUAUUUAGUUCACGUUAAAUAACCACCGUUUUCUGUUUAAUCCAUUGUAAAUAGAUCUAUGGAUCAAUAAACUUAUUAUAUAGGAUAAAUAAAAAAUUCCUAUA
rnacentral:lncRNA from 11 species